rnacentral:lncRNA from 10 species
ACUGCCCCAGGUCUUGCUGCAGCCGGGACCGCGCUCUGCAGCCGCAGACCCGGUCCACACGGCCAGGGGCUACGACCCUUGGGAUCUGCCCUCCGCUCAGCUCGAGCUUCCCUCGUGGCCGACGGAACAAUGAAGAAUCUCACUGUGUUGUUCAGGCUGGAGUGCCGCAGAGUGAUCUCUACUCACUGCAACCUCUGCCUCCUAGGUUCAAGCAAUUCUUGUGCCUCAGCCUCCUGAGAAGCUGGGAUUACCACCAUGCCCAGCUAAUUUUCGUAUUUUUUUGUAAAGACGGAGUUUUGCCAUGUUGGCCAGGCUGGUCUGGAACUCCUGGCCUCAAGCGAUCUGCCCAUCUCGGCCUCCCAAAGUGCUGGGAUUACAGGCAUGUGCUAUCAUUCUUUUUGAGCACAGGAGGAAACUAUGGCUGAUCUGCUCAUUUUACUGUCAAAAAUAUAGGCAGCUUUUGUAUUGUAACAUUAUCCCCUUAACAGCUGUCCAACUGGUCUAUACAUUUCACCUAACAU